CAGCAGCCGCGGGAAUACGAAGGGUGCAAGCGUUACUCGGAAUUACUGGGCGUAAAGCGUGCGUAGGUGGUGGUUUAAGUCCGUUGUGAAAGCCCUGGGCUCAACCUGGAAAUUGCAGUGGAUACUGGGUCACUAGAGUGUGGUAGAGGAUAGUGGAAUUUCCGGUGUAGCAGUGAAAUGCGUAGAGAUCGGAAGGAACAUCUGUGGCGAAGGCGACUAUCUGGGCCAACACUGACACUGAGGCACGAAAGCGUGGGGAGCAAACAGGAUUAGAGACCCCCGUAGUCCCUGUCUCUUAUAC
rnacentral:rRNA from 1 species